UACGUAGGGUGCGAGCGUUGUCCGGAAUUACUGGGCGUAAAGAGCUCGUAGGUGGUUUGUCGCGUUGUUCGUGAAAACUCACAGCUCAACUGUGGGCGUGCGGGCGAUACGGGCAGACUGGAGUACUGCAGGGGAGACUGGAAUUCCUGGUGUAGCGGUGGAAUGCGCAGAUAUCAGGAGGAACACCGGUGGCGAAGGCGGGUCUCUGGGCAGUAACUGACGCUGAGGAGCUAAAGCGUGGGGAGCGAACAGG
rnacentral:rRNA from 1 species